rnacentral:rRNA from 1 species
UACGUAGGUGGCAAGCGUUGUCCGGAAUUAUUGGGCGUAAAGCGCGCGCAGGUGGUUCCUUAAGUCUGAUGUGAAAGCCCUCGGCUCAACCGUGGAGGGUCAUUGGAAACUGGGGAACUUGAGUGCAGAAGAGGAAAGUGGAAUUCCAAGUGUAGCGGUGAAAUGCGUAGAGAUUUGGAGGAACACCAGUGGCGAAGGCGACUUUCUGGUCUGUAACUGACACUGAGGCGCGAAAGCGUGGGGAGCAAACAGG